GGAACACAUCUCACAUUAACAUAUGGUAGUUAAAAUACAAUCAAAUGAGAAAACAAAGAGAUACCUGCAUAGUGUAGCAAACAAGCUAGAAAUCUGACUGCUGUAAUCAAGUGGUUACAUGUGAACCAUGCUUUCAUUGAUCAGGGAAGCCAGUUGUGAUCCCCCCUGCACUCCAUGAAUUACAUAUUCACUGUAUCUAGUCAUUCAUGAGGCCCCGAGAGAGUGCAC